UACAGAGGUCUCAAGCGUUGUUCGGAUUCAUUGGGCGUACAGGGUGCGUAGGUGGUGAUGCAAGUCUGGUGUGAAAUCUCGGAGCUCAACUCCGAAAUUGCACCGGAUACUGCGUGACUCGAGGACUGUAGAGGAGAUCGGAAUUCACGGUGUAGCAGUGAAAUGCGUAGAUAUCGUGAGGAAGACCAGUUGCGAAGGCGGAUCUCUGGGCAGUUCCUGACACUGAGGCACGAAGGCCAGGGGAGCAAACGGG
rnacentral:rRNA from 1 species